CCCAAGGAACAACGCGUUUCAACGGGUGCCUAAACAGUCCGCUCAGGUCACCGCCCUGUCAAGGCCCUCCGGAUACUCUCAGUCCAACGGCCAUAUUUGUUUUCCUCCCAUUACCGGAAGCGCCCCUCCAAAGCUCCGCCCCAUCCUGCCUCCAGCGUUUGGGCCAAGGCGUGGCAGGUGCCUGCGUCCACUCCGUUGCCCGAAGCGCUUCACCUAGGCCCCGCCUCAACCCCGCCCUCAGCCUUUCCGCGUCGGGGCCUGGCCAAUAGAUACACCCCGCCCAUUACCGGAAGCAUUCCCUCCAGGCCUGUCCCAUGCCCGAUCCUCCACCUGCGCUCUUGCGCAGUUAUUGAACGACCCGGAAGCGAAGGUCGUAUCGACCUCAGUGGGUUUUGAACUUUCUGUUUUGUACGUGAGUGUUUCCAGUCAACAGUCGCACACGCCCAGCGUCUGGGGUCUCAAUACGAGUUAACGUCCCCUGCCCCGCGCCCCCUACCGCGGUGAAUGGCGUCGCGGGCACACCGAACCGUGCUGGCGGCGCUGCCCGCGCGGGGUUCCCGGUUGGUUUCGGUUCGGAUCAAUUGAAAUUUGCUGUUUUGAAUUGAACAGGAACUGUUGACAUUCAGGGAUGUGGCCAUAGAGUUCUCUCAGGAGGAGCGGGAGUGCCUGGACCCCGCUCAGAGGGCCUGGUACAGGGAUGUGAUGUUGGAGAACUACAGGACCCUGGUCUCCCUGGCUGUCCAGGAACUGGGAUUGGUUUAUGGAAAAGCUGCAGGACAUCAUCUACCGGUUUCCAUGUCAGCAAGACCCUCUUUCUGAGCUGAAUACCAUCUCCACUGUGGAGGAAGGAAGAGCCUUGCACGGCCAGGAGUGGGGUGAAACUAGCGGCAAAACCCAGGUGCUGGACAUCUUGUGUGGUGAACUCUGCCAUGAGGAGUUUUACUGGGUAAAAGAACAUUCUGCAUGGAGAACACUUAGAUUUAGAUGUCACAGCACCAUCCUACUAAGUGGAGUUGUGCCCCCAAAGCACCUGAGUAGAGUGGUGAGUGUGUUCCAGGAUGCUGGCAUCUAGUGUAGCAUGGGAGCCUGGCGUAGGGCUCCAGUGUCCUUCCAGUUUUUGGAGUGUCUCAAAGGUGUCCCUUGAGGGCACUGGGGCGAUGGUGAUAGAGUUCACUGAGGAUCAUCCCCCUUGAUUUGGCAUGAGCAAGUACAGGAAUUUAUUGUGAGGAGAUCAUUGCCUGUCUUCAUAACCCCAUCUAUGAGACUGUUGACCAAAUUAUUGUUCAUGCAACAAUGUUCAUUCCAUGUGUAUGCCCUUGUUCCUUCUUCAGCAAAUAAGAUUUCAUUUAUUGUAUUGAACGAAUUUAUGAGUUCUUGAUGCCUACAUUAUUGACCUCUACCCUAUUUCUUUUGUUGAAAAUGCUGUUUGCUUUGUUCUUCAGCUUUCCGUGUAUUAUAAAUGAACUUGUUAUUUAAAUAUAUAAUCAUUGGUUAUGUAUUUUUUAUGACACCCAUAAGUGUUCUUUGUUUUGUCAUUGUAAUUUGUUGGGCUGUUUGACCAUGGAAUGAAUAUUAUUUCAUAUAAUUAUAAUUUGUUCCUGGAUGUUAAGGGUUAUGGUGGAGCUGUUGUCCAAAAACCUAUAAUAACCUCUAGAAUUUGCUAAAAAUAUCAUCAUAGUUACUCUUCCUUCAUCUGUUUUGCUUGAGUUAAUACUUGUCUAUUAACAAAUACUUUCCCAUGUGAAUGAAUUUGGAUUUUAUUGGAUAUCUGGAGAAUAUUGUUAUUGUUAUAGUGACUGUAUUUGUCCCUUAAAUAGAAAGAAAUGUAUCCAUAAUUUGUUUUAUAAGAUAUUUCAGUUUCUCUAUAGUAUAUUUUAAGUUUUCUAAACAUAAUUUGUUGGAUUUUGUAUGAAUUUUACAGAGCUUUUUAUUUCAGUUAAAAUGUUUUAUUUUAAAAAUCAUCUCCCUACCUAGGUUUACAAUGUAAUUCUGGGUAUACUGAACUAAUCGUUAAAUAUCUAAUUUAUUUAAUAGGAACAUAGCCAAUAUCUUGCAUUUCAUAUAGUUUUUCAUCACUGUUACUUAUGACACAGAUUUCCACACAAUUUUUCAUGUUCUGGGAAUCCUGUUAUUCAUUAAUUCAUAAAGAGUGCUUUGUUCUCAGCUA